CAGUAGCCGCGGUAAUGCGCAGGGGGCUAGCGUUGCUCGGAAUUACUGGGCGUAAAGCGCACGUAGGCGGAUAUUUAAGUCAGGGGUGAAAUCCCAGAGCUCAACUCUGGAACUGCCUUUGAUACUGGGUAUCUUGAGUAUGGAAGAGGUGAGUGGAAUUCCGAGUGUAGAGGUGAAAUUCGUAGAUAUCCGGAGGAACACCAGUGGCGAAGGCGGCUCACUGGUCCAUUACUGACGCUGAGGUGCGAAAGCGUGGGGAGCAAACAGGAUUAGAUACCCGGGUAGUCCCUGUCUCUUAUAA
rnacentral:rRNA from 1 species